CGGCGGACGGGUGAGUAACGCGUGGGUAACCUGCCUCAUACAGGGGGAUAACAGUUAGAAAUGGCUGCUAAUACCGCAUAAGACCACAGUACUGCAUGGUACAGUGGUAAAAACUCCGGUGGUAUGAGAUGGACCCGCGUCUGAUUAGGUAGUUGGUGAGGUAACGGCCCACCAAGCCGGCGAUCAGUAGCCGACCUGAGAGGGUGACCGGCCACAUUGGGACUGAGACACGGCCCAG
rnacentral:rRNA from 1 species